AGAGGGAGAGAGAGAUUGACUCUGUUUACUAUAACAAGGGCUUUGGGAAUUAUGAGCCAGGAACUGUAGACCAAAACCUUACAAAUAUUGAGUGGAAAUACUGGUUUGCAUGACUAUAAACUCCAAGAGGGAGAGGACCACAGAAAUGGAGCAUAGUUUAUUUCUGCUGCCAAGGUCUAAAACAGCUAUGAAGUUGUGUCUUACUAUUUCUUCCAGUGGCCUGCAAUCCACUGGAAACCAUUUCCUCUGUUGUCCAGCAAGCAGUUUAAUUGAGUACUGCAGUACUCUUCUUGAGGCAGUACAAGUUGGGGAAUAAACUCAAGUAAGGGGUCAUGUCCUGUUUAGAAGAAACAAUCAUUUUAAGAGUAAAGAA
ensembl:lncRNA LINC02534 long intergenic non-protein coding RNA 2534